rnacentral:miRNA from 1 species
UCCAAUUGGCCCAAGCCCUAU